rnacentral:rRNA from 1 species
GUGAGCUCACAGGAAGAUGAAGAACUAGUCUGGGGAAUAGGAAGAAGUUCAGAGUUCACGUUUUUUGACUUUUCACAAGUAUCAGAUGCAACAAGUAACUUCUCAGAUGAAAAUAAAUUGGGACAAGGUGGUUUUGGCCCAGUAUACAAGGGUCAGCUACCGAAAGGAUCGGAGGUAGCAAUUAAGAGACUAGCUUCACAGUCAGGGCAAGGUUUCACCGAGUUCAAAAAUGAAGUCCAACUCAUAGCUAAGCUCCAGCACACCAAUUUGGUUAGACUCUUGGGAUGUUGCUCUCAAGGAGAGGAGAAAAUAUUGAUAUAUGAAUAUUUGCCAAAUAAAAGCUUGGACUUCUUUAUCUUUGAUGAAACUAAAAAGGCUUUAUUAAAAUGGGACAAAAGAAAAGCGAUUAUCGAAGGGAUAGCACAAGGACUUCUAUAUCUGCAUAAGCACUCUCGGUUACGUGUCAUACAUAGGGAUCUUAAAGCAAGCAACAUUCUUUUGGACAGUGAAAUGAAUCCUAAAAUAUCAGAUUUUGGGCUUGCAAAAAUAUUCAGCUCAAAUGAUACUGAAGGGAACACAAAAAGGAUUGCUGGGACAUAUGGGUAUAUGGCUCCUGAGUAUGCUUCAGAGGGUCUCUUCUCGAUCAAAUCUGAUGUAUUCAGCUUUGGUGUGCUGAUUCUCGAGAUCAUCAAUGGAAAAAGAAACUCAUGUUUCCAUCAAAAUGGGGACUUCUUCAAUCUUCUCGGAUAUGCAUGGAAGUUGUGGAAAGAGGAAAGAUGGCUGGAGUUCGUCGAUGAAUCAAUAGUUUCAGAGUCUGACGUGUUAGAGACAAUGAGGUGUAUCAACAUCGCAUUGCUGUGUGUGCAAGAGAAUGCAGCUGAUAGACCCAGCACAACAAGUUUGGUUGCAAUGCUAAGCAGUGAAAGUAUGACCCUGCCUGAACCUAAGCAUCCGGCGUAUUUCCACAUAAGGGUAACGGAGGAAGAGCCACCUAGUGCUAAUGAUGUGACGAUGUCUGCUCUACAGGGCAGAUAG